AGAGCGAACGCUGGCGGCAUGCUUAACACAUGCAAGUCGCACGGGCAGGGGAAACCCUGUCAGUGGCGGACGGGUGAGUAACGCGUAGGUAUCUAUCCUUGGGUGGGGGACAACUGUGGGAAACUACAGCUAAUACCGCAUGAUGACCGAGGUCCAAAGGCCGCAAGGCCGCCUGGGGAGGAGCCUGCGUACGAUUAGCUAGUUGGUGGGGUAACUGCCUACCAAGGCGACGAUCGUUAGCUGGUCUGAGAGGAUGAUCAGCCACAUUGGGACUGAGACACGGCCCAAACUCCUACGGGAGGCAGCAGUGGGGAAUAUUGGACAAUGGGCGCAAGCCUGAUCCAGCAAUGCCGCGUGGGUGAAGAAGGUCUUCGGAUUGUAAAGCCCUUUCGACGGGGACGAUGAUGACGGUACCCGUAGAGAAGCCCGGCUAACUCGUGCCAGCAGCCGC
rnacentral:rRNA from 1 species